UCGAGCGGUAGAGAGGUGCUUGCACCUCUUGAGAGCGGCGGACGGGUGAGUAAUGCCUAGGAAUCUGCCUGGUAGUGGGGGAUAACGCUCGGAAACGGACGCUAAUACCGCAUACGUCCUACGGGAGAAAGCAGGGGACCUUCGGGCCUUGCGCUAUCAGAUGAGCCUAGGUCGGAUUANCUAGUUGGUGAGGUAAUGGCUCACCAAGGCGACGAUCCGUAACUGGUCUGAGAGGAUGAUCAGUCACACUGGAACUGAGACACGGUCCAGACUCCUACGGGAGGCAGCAGUGGGGAAUAUUGGACAAUGGGCGAAAGCCUGAUCCAGCCAUGCCGCGUGUGUGAAGAAGGUCUUCGGAUUGUAAAGCACUUUAAGUUGGGAGGAAGGGCAUUAACCUAAUACGUUAGUGUUUUGACGUUACCGACAGAAUAAGCACCGGCUAACUCUGUGCCAGCAGCCGCGGUAAUACAGAGGGUGCAAGCGUUAAUCGGAAUUACUGGGCGUAAAGCGCGCGUAGGUGGUUCGUUAAGUUGGAUGUGAAAGCCCCGGGCUCAACCUGGGAACUGCAUUCAAAACUGUCGAGCUAGAGUAUGGUAGAGGGUGGUGGAAUUUCCUGUGUAGCGGUGAAAUGCGUAGAUAUAGGAAGGAACACCAGUGGCGAAGGCGACCACCUGGACUGAUACUGACACUGAGGUGCGAAAGCGUGGGGAGCAA
rnacentral:rRNA from 1 species